rnacentral:rRNA from 1 species
ACGCUGGCGGCGUGCCUAACACAUGCAAGUCGAGCGGCAGCGAGUUUUACACUGAAUUCUGGAAGCUUCUGGGUAAUAUAGAAGAUCUAUUCAAGAAUUUUGUGUAAAAUGUCGGCGAGCGGCGGACGGCUGAGUAACGCGUAGGAAUUAGCCCCAAAGUGAGGAAUAACUGCCCGAAAGGGUAGCUAAUGCCGCAUACGGUCUUCGGAUUAAAGCCUUCGGGCGCUUUGGGAGAAGCCUGCGUUGGAUUAGGUAGUUGGUAGGGUAAUGGCCUACCAAGCCGACGAUCCAUAGCUGGUCUGAGAGGAUGAUCAGCCAGACUGGAACUGAGACACGGUCCAGACUCCUACGGGAGGCAGCAGUGAGGAAUCUUCCACAAUGGGCGAAAGCCUGAUGGAGCAACGCCGCGUGAAGGAUGAAGGCCUUCGGGUUGUAAACUUCUUUUAUGAGUGAAGAAUAUGACGGUAACUCAUGAAUAAGCACCGGCUAACUACGUGCCAGCAGCCGCGGUCAUACGUAGGGUGCAAGCAUUAUCCGGAGUGACUGGGCGUAAAGAGUUGCGUAGGCGGUUUAAUAAGUGAAUAGUGAAACCUGGUGGCUCAACCAUACAGACUAUUAUUCAAACUGUUAAACUCGAGAAUGGUAGAGGUAACUGGAAUUUCUAGUGUAGGAGUGAAAUCCGUAGAUAUUAGAAGGAACACCGAUGGCGUAGGCAGGUUACUGGGCCAUUUCUGACGCUAAGGCACGAAAGCGUGGGGAGCGAACCGGAUUAGAUACCCGGGUAGUCCACGCCGUAAACGAUGGAUACUAGCUGUUGGAGGUAUCGACCCCUUCAGUAGCGAAGCUAACGCGUUAAGUAUCCCGCCUGUGGAGUACGGCCGCAAGGCUAAAACAUAAAGGAAUUGACGGGGACCCGCAC